GACAGAGUAAGAUUCCGAAGUGGUGUUUACAACUAAUUGAUCACAACCAGUUACAGAUUCCUUUGUUCCUUCUCCACUCCCACUAUUCCACUUGACCAGCCUAAA
rnacentral:sRNA from 1 species